CGGACGGGUGAGUAACGCGUGAGAAUCUGCCUUCAGGUCGGGGACAACCACUGGAAACGGUGGCUAAUACCCGAUGUGCGCAACGUGAAAGAUUUAUCGCCUGAAGAGGAGCUCGCGUCUGAUUAGCUAGUUGGUGGGGUAAAAGCUCACCAAGGCGACGAUCAGUAGCUGGUCUGAGAGGAUGAUCAGCCACACUGGGACUGAGACACGGCCCAGACUCCUACGGGAGGCAGCAGUGGGGAAUUUUCCGCAAUGGGCGAAAGCCUGACGGAGCAAGACCGCGUGAGGGAGGAAGGCUCUUGGGUUGUAAACCUCUUUUCUCAGGGAAGAACAAAAUGACGGUACCUGAGGAAUCAGCCUCGGCUAACUCCGUGCCAGCAGCCGCGGUAAUACGGAGGAGGCAAGCGUUAUCCGGAAUUAUUGGGCGUAAAGCGUCCGCAGGUGGCACUUCAAGUCUGUCGUCAAAGACUGGGGCUUAACCCUGGAAGGGCGGUGGAAACUGAAGCGCUAGAGUGUGGUAGGGGUAGAGGGAAUUCCCGGUGUAACGGUGAAAUGCGUAGAGAUCGGGAAGAACAUCGGUGGCGAAAGCGCUCUACUGGACCACAACUGACACUCAGGGACGAAAGCUAGGGGAGCGAAUGGGAUUAGAUACCCCAGUAGUC
rnacentral:rRNA from 1 species